CGUAGCACGUGGUGGAAAUUAAUAGAUGGGAUGGUGGACGGCGGAAGGGAUAAUGAUGCAGCGGCGGCGUGACUAAUGUGAACAGAACUCGAAACUCUAAAGGAACUAGACACUAAGACCAGCAACUGACACGAUGAUGCAACCGAUAAUUCAACUAUGCAAGCAAUGAAUAGAAAAUUGCAAAGGCUCAGACUGGCUUGGAUAAAGGAUGAAUAGAUCUAACUUUUUUUGUGGCUUUUUCAUGGACUAUAGGUAUGAAUGACAGAUGCGAUCUAAACUAUGAAAAACUGUAAAAUCUCACCGAGCAACCUGAAAACUGAUACCACUUGAUAGAGGCGGGGUGUCCCGAUCUUUCGAUGAGAUGAUAACUAUCGAUUUGGUGGAGACGACUUUGACGAUCCGACUACAAACGUGCACGUCGUUGCGCCUUGGCAAUCGCUAAACCAACUCUGAGAGGUUAUUGACCACGCCGAAGCGCAAUCAACCUGACCACGAAGGUCUAUUCCUGCAAGCAAUCGAAGAACAAGCAAGAAUAUGAUAAAAGCAAUCUGAAUAUUGCGAGUAUAUUUGAAGUAUUGAUAAAAGUGGGGAUCCGUAAGCGGUCUUGGUCUGGUCGUUGGACACAAACGAAUUACACGAAGUUGCAAUGGCUAACUUUUAACUAAACAAAUCCCAAGGAAAAAGCUACUAGAUGGAUCUACUUAUAUAGGAGCAAGCGGUGGCGGCCAAGGAGGUGGGAGAAUGUCCCAAGGCAGCCUAAAACCAACCCUAGGUCGUACAAGGCUCAUGGGCCCAAGUGGAGGUGACGUAACACCUUUGGACUUGUAGUUUGACUCGGAUUCUGCUGCAGCAUCAGAUUGUUUCGUCCAUAACUCAACGCUCCGGACGAAUUUGAAGGUGAUUCCAAUUGGGUUGGAAAGUGCACGAAAUCUAGUUUCCAACAAAAAAAGAAUCACCCAAUUCGGAGUCCGUAUGAAAAAGUUGUGUGCGUUUUGAGUCAGGUAUGUCUGUGCAGUCCGAAUCUGAAUCCAGAACGUGAGAGACUUGGACUCUAUCUUCUCUUGGGCCAAAAGUGACGUGAGAGAACUUUUUGGACAGCAAAUAAACAUCUCUUUCUUCCUUAUCUUCAUAUGUGGAUUGUACAAAUGUCCCAUACACCUGCAAUUAGACAAAACACAAAAGUGUGUGAAGUAUUUUUGUUCUGGAUAACAUAAAUAGAUUAUUGAAUAGUUUGCACUAGAAAUCACCUGACAAAUAUGCAUAUAUGCAAUAUUUUUGGUCAUAUCCAAGGUAGUCAUGUCCUCAUCAUGGAUUGGAGUGGGAAGUGUUGCGCAGAGACUAGGAGUAGAUGGAUUGGACUGGUGUGGCGCCUUUAUAUGAGAGUCCAAACUACGUUGCAUUCACAUGCUCCAUUCUGCUUCUCCAAUUACUUACUCCUACCUCUGCAUGCUACUUGAAUGCGGAGGCAUCAUUAACCGUUCAAUGUUUCGGGAACCGCUACCCUCUGCGUCGUUGGCAUUCAAGCUGUAUCAACGUAAAUGCGUGUCAAGAGACGUUCUCGUCGACGACAAGGUGCCUAUGGUGACUUUGUAAAUUUUAAGAUGAUAUGCCGGCUCAGUCUUUUGGAGGUGCUCAUAGGUGUAGGGUGUGCGUGUGUGCGUUCAUAGGGGUGAGUGUAUGCGCGUGUAUAUGAGCGCUUGUGUCUGUAUUGUGCUAAAAACGUAAAUGCGUGUCAAAAAGAGACUAGUCAGUACUAGUAUAGUCAAUAUUGUGCACCACGACCAAGGCGUAGAGGAAAAUGAGAGAACUACGUAUUUAUUUACAGUGUAGAUUCACUCAUUUUGCUCCAUAUGUACUCAUUUAGGGUGUAGUCUAGUCAGUUGUUGAAAUCUCUAGAAAGGCAAUACUGUACUCCUUUCCGGUUUACAGGGCUAUACUAGCAAGUACUACAAUAGUGGGCUCACAUAGCAAUUUUGUCUCAUGCAAGAGCCUGGCUAUAUGCGUGCUCCAAGGCUCCGCACCACGCCCCACCCCUACACAAAGACUGCCACGCGAGCGUUCGCAACUGCCACGUUCGGGUUGCGCUUGGCUCUUCUCCUCUUCGAGAAGACGAACAAUGAUGUUACUACUACUUCUACAGUAACGAAUCCACUUAUGCAUGUUCGUCCACCGUGUGCGGGAGGGAUAUCUUGUUGUAGUAUAAGCAAAAGCAUGUCCUUGUCUGCGAGCCACCACGCACAUGGGCGAGGGAGAAGGCGUGUAGUAGUAAAAUCAACCUUCCCCUCGUUGUAUGAGUUGACGCGACACAUCAUAGCACUGGCCCCACAUGCUUGCCUCUAAACUUGGCUAAAAGACAUGCAGUGUACAAUAUAUUUGCUGCAACCUCUAACAUUUACCCCACCACAAAUUAAAAUAUAUAUUCCUGUCUUGACCAGAUGAGCAUGCAAACUACAAUCACCAGGAUCACAUGUAUGGCCAUAAGAUUAUUUUGAUCAAAAAAAAUGCUUUGAGACGGCCUCAUAGCAUGGAGCUGACCCCAACGAUUUUAAGCUUAGAGGCACGGUACACGCUAUCCUAGACUACUCUACACCUGAAACUGCCACAUGAGCGUCCGGGCUAUGGUUGGCUCUUCGCCUCUUUGGGAAGUCGAACAAUGAUGGAGUACUACUACAGUGGAGUACUACGAUAUGCUUCUGGCCAUCUGACACCGAAUGAACUACUGCAUGUCCACCGCAUGCGGGAGGGAGAGCGUGUAGCGAAAGCUUCUCCUAGUCCUGCCAGCCACCACGCUCAUGGGCGAGGGAGGGACACAGCUUCAUUGACUGACUGCUCCUGCCUUUGCGUGUAUGACAGGUGGGCCCAACAGGUGGGUGGCCCACCUGUCAUACAACCAAAGGCAGGUGCAGUUAAGGCACUGGAGCUCAUUCCGCAAGGGAGAGGGCAUUGUAAUCAAACUUCUUGUUGUUGUACAAGUUGAUGCGACACAUCAAAGCACUGCACUCGAUAUAUUCCAAUAAUUUGUGUUUACAGAUGCAUUAAUUACAACGCAUGCAUGCAUGCCGUGACUUUCCUUUUGAUACUUGCAUGUGUUGAUUUAAUGCACCUUGAAGUAGUAUGAAUAUGUGACGGUAAAGCUUUGUAAUGCACCGGCGCUAAAGCGAGAGAUGGUUGUGCACGAGGAGGGCGAGAUCAUGCCGACGAAACAGGACCCGGCGAUGGAGCUCUCUAUGGUCUCGAUGGACCUCACCUUGCUCCACUGCCCCUUGUGCCUCCGCCCCUUGAAGCCUCCAAUUUAUGAGGUUCGAAUACACCUCGUACGUUUGGUUGAUCGGGCAAGGUGCGGGUUUCUUGAUUGAUGUGUUGUUCGAUUGAUUUGUGCAGUGUAAGGGACGACACCUGUCUUGCGCGGACUGCCGCAUCGAGCGCCCCGGGAACCAGCGGCGGUGCCAGAAGUGCGAGUGCGGCGGUGGCUUCGACGUGGGAAACAUGAUGGUGGACGACGUCCUCUCCUCGAUGAGGGUGGAGUGCCCGCACGAAGGUUAUGGGCUCCAUGUCUCUUACCACAAGCUCACCAAUCACUAGAGCGUGUGUCCGCUCGCGCCAUGCAAAUGCCCCAUGCCCAUCUGCAGCUACGAAGGCCCGCCCCCAGCACUCUCCCACCACAUCAGCACCGUGCAUCCCAUGCCCGUGCACAGGAUCCAGUACAGCAAGGUGCUCCAGCUGCAAGUGCCACUAUCGAAGCCACGGCUCUUGCUGUUCGCGGAGGAGGAUAGCCGCACAUUUUUCUUGGUCAGCGGCGUGCUCGACAUCCGUGCGCCUAUCACCGUGUCGGUCGUCUGCAUCAGAGCGGGCGCGUACCCACUGCCGCACUACGUGGCCAAGCUGUGGGUGAACGGCCCGCCGGCGGAGCCCAAAGGCAGAACCGACGCCGUCAAGGUGGAAAAUGGAGGUGACAAGCAACAAGGAUCCCGGCGACGUUGCCGUGCAGGAGCUGACCUUCUUCACAGUUCCGCCCAAGCUGCUGGCCGGGGCUGGGUUGUCGAGGACGGUGUCCCUCCACAUUCAGAUUGACAAGCUCACAUCCUAAAUGAUUCUACAGUGCCUUCUGUUUAUCUUAGUAAUAUGCUAAUAUAGGGGUUAGCUCGGUCUACUUUAGCUUAAGAGAUGGUGGGUUUUUGUGGCGAUGCAGCAAUUACUUCGACAUUAGAUCAGUAGUUAAAGUAAUUUCCAAUAGUCGAACGAAUAUUUUGUGUAUGUUUGAUAUAAAGAUCCUUUGGGUAAGUACUAUAAUAGCUUAUAUGCUUGUCUGUCCAGGAAGUGUUGCAUACUUGUGCGAGUUCACGUGACAUAUCAAAGUAGUACUACUACUAGUAGUACUCCCUCUGAUCCUAAUUUCUUUGUGCAUAAGUCGAGGCGCACAUACCAAGGAGGGUCUGGUUGCGUCUAUACUUGGACAGCUCACCCGACUGCGCACCAGGCAGACGAAGCUCAUGUCGUGUUGGUGUUGUGUGCGGCCCGCACAUUAACUAAAACCUCGUGGCUCCAGCUUAGCCUCUACGUUUUAAACUUCUCAGUAUCAAGGCCGAGCAGCAACGUGAAACCUAUGAUAGAGCCAAUUGGAUGGUUGAGAACACUACAAUUCGUAGCUACAUAUGCGUGUGUGAGAGAGAGGACGAGUGCGUGUGUGCACCUCUUCUCUUCACGUAUAAUGUACUAAACUCAGAGUACAAGUGUAUGUGGGUGGCAUCGACCUAGGGAGCUAGAGAUGGUGCGUGCGAGAAGUCCCAAGAGAUAGGUGUAAUGCGCCUGAAAAAAAGACUAGUCUAUAGCUCGCCAUGGGGCUAUUCCUGUCGAACGCCCCAAUAACCGUAAGAUAUGUAUCCGACAGUGCCAGUUAUUGCACAUACACAGCAGUAGAAAAAGAAGUACCAUGGCAUAUGCUACACCACAGCUGAUAGAGGCAAAGGUGUCCCGUCUUUCGAUGAGAUGAUGGAUAUCGCUUUGGUGGAAGUCGACUUUGACGAUCCGACUACGAACGUGCGAGGACGUCGCGCCUUAGCAAUCGCUAAACCAACUCCGAGAGGUUAUUGACCACGCCGGAGCACGAUCAACCUGACCACGAGGGUCUGUUUCCUGCGAGCAAACGAAGAACAAGCAAGAAACUAAGAUUGCAAUCUGGAUAUUGCGAAUAUAAGAUGAAAGCUUUAUUGAUCAAGGUGGGGUUCUGUGACGCCUUUGUCUGGUCGUUGAACACAAACGAAGUACGCGAAGUUGCAGCUAUGGCGAACUUUUAAUCUAAGCAAAACCCCAAAGUCUAAACGAUGCCCUAAGGGCUGUAUAUAUGGAGGAAGAGGGGGGAAUUUCGUGGCCCUUGGUGGAGGAGUCCAAAAUCAACCCUAUCUCUUGUUUCCCCACACAUACGGACUCUAAAAAUAGCCUAUACUUAUGUAUUUCGAAAUUACAUGGGCCUGGCCCAAUAAUAAGGUGACGCAGCACCUAAAAUAGCCUCGGGACGAAAUUUAUGAAGUGGCAUCUUGUAUAUUUCGUCCAAGGCUUCAUGCACCCAUUAUGGUGGCUUCAAAGUCCUGAAAUCAUCACUUGUAACUCCGUUCUUGUUUCCCUUGCGCAUGCCAUCAUCUCCAUGCUUGUUCUUGCUCCAAUGUUCAUCCUUCUCCAAGCUAGGCCCUUCAUUUGUAAGCAAAACAAAUGUAUCCAAUUUAGGCAGCAUCAUAUUCUCAUGAACAUUAUAAUCAUUACCAAGAAACGAAAGUACCUGGUAAUUUAGUUGGCGUGCACGAGCUCCAGUAAUUGGUCCAGUAUGUAUAGCAGCAGGGGCUGUGGGUGUAACAAUUGUAUUGAUGUCCUCAUCAUCCUCCCCUUCUUGAAAUGAAGUCGUCCUCGACGGAAGUUCAUCUUCCUCACCCAAAUAAGGCUUCAAAUCUGCAAUGUUAAAAGUGGGACUAACCCCAAAAUCUGCAGGCAGCUCAAGUUUAUAUGCAUUAUCAUUUAUUUUCUCUAACACCUUAAAGGGACCAUCAGCACGUGGCAUUAACUUUGAUUUGCGCAAAUCAGGAAAUCUAUCCUUACGCAAAUGUAACCAAACAAGAUCUCCAGGUGCAAACACAACAUGUUUUCUACCCUUAUCUCCAGCAAGUUUAUAUUUAGCAUUCAUGCGCUCAAUGUUUUCCUUAGUUAACUCAUGCAUUUUUAAAAUCAAUUCAGCACGUUGUUUAGCAUCAAAAUUAACCUUCUCCGAAGAUGGAAGAGGCAACAAAUCAAUAGGUGCACGAGGUAGGAAACCAUACACAACUUCAAAAGGGCACAUCUUAGUAGUAGAAUGCAAUGAAGGAUUAUAAGCAAAUUCAAUAUGAGGCAAGCAUUCCUCCCACAUUUUCUUAUUAUUCUUCAAAACAGCCCUAAGCAUAGUAGACAACGUUCUAUUGACUACUUCAGUUUGUCCAUCAGUUUGGGGGUGACAAGUAGUACUAAAAAGCAGUUUAGUCCCCAACUUAGCCCAUAAACAUCUCCAAAAGUGGCUAAGAAAUUUAGUAUCACGAUCUGAAAUAAUAGUAUUUGGCACACCAUGCAAGCGAAUAAUUUCACGAAAGAACAAAUCAGCAACACUAACAGCAUCAUCGCUUUUAUGACAUGGUAUAAAGUGUGCCAUUUUCGAGAAUCUAUCCACGACAACAAAUAUGCUAUCCCUCCCCUUCUUUGUUCGAGGUAAACCUAAAACAAAGUCCAUAGAUAUAUCCUCCCAAGGAACACUAGGUACAGGCAAAGGCAUAUAUAAACCAUGAGGAUUGAGUCGUGACUUAGCUUUUUGACAUGUAGUGCAUCGAGCAAUAAAACGCUCAACAUCCCGUCUCAUCUUUGGCCAAAAGAAAUGUGUAGCAAGUACGUCCUCCGUCUUCUUCACGCCAAAGUGUCCCAUUAAUCCUCCUCCAUGCGCCUCCUGCAACAACAAAAGACGAACGGAGCUAGCUGGAAUUGAUAGAGGCAAAGGUGUCCCGUCUUUCGAUGAGAUGGUGGAUUUCGCUUUGGUGGAAGUCGACUUUGACGAUCCGACUACGAACGUGCGAGGACGUCGCGCCUUAGCAAUCGCUAAACCAACUCCGAGAGGUUAUUGACCACGCCGGAGCACGAUCAACCUGACCACGAGGGUCUGUUUCCUGCGAGCAAACGAAGAACAAGCAAGAAACUGAGAUUGCAAUCUGGAUAUUGCGAAUAUAAGAUGAAAGCUUUAUUGAUCAAGGUGGGGUUCUGUGACGCCUUUGUCUGGUCGUUGAACACAAACGAAGUACGCGAAGUUGCAGCUAUGGCGAACUUUUAAUCUAAACAAAACCCAGAGUCUAAACGAUGCCCUAAGGGCUGUAUAUAUGGAGGAAGAGGGGGGAAUUUCGUGGCCCUUGGUGGAGGGGUCCGAAAUCAACCCUAUCUCUUGUUUCCCCACACAUACGGACUCUAAAAAUAGCCUAUACUUAUGUAUUUCGAAAUUACAUGGGCCUGGCCCAAUAAUAAGGUGACGCAGCACCUAAAAUAGCCUCGGGACGAAAUUUAUGAAGUGGCAUCUUUUAUAUUUCGUCCAAGGCUUCAUGCACCCAUUAUGGUGGCUUCAAAGUCCUGAAAUCAUCACUUGUAACUCCGUUCUUGUUCCCCUUGCGCAUGCCAUCAUCUCCAUGCUUGUUCUUGCUCCAAUGUUCAUCCUUCUCCAAGCUAGGCCCUUCAUUUGUAAGCAAAACAAAUGUAUCCAAUUUAGGCAGCAUCAUAUUCUCAUGAACAUUAAAAUCAUUACCAAGAAACGAAAGUACCUGGUAAUUUAGUUGGCGUGCACGAGCUCUAGUAAUUGGUCCAGUAUGUAUAGCAGCAGGGGUUGUGGGUGUAACAAUUGUAUUGAUGUCCUCAUCAUCCUCCCCUUCUUGAAAUGAAGUCGUCCUCGACGGAAGUUCAUCUUCCUCACCCAAAUAAGGCUUCAAAUCUGCAAUGUUAAAAGUGGGACUAACCCCAAAAUCUGCAGGCAGCUCAAGUUUAUAUGCAUUAUCAUUUAUUUUCUCUAACACCUUAAAGGGACCAUCAGCACGUGGCAUUAGCUUUGAUUUGCGCAAAUCAGGAAAUCUAUCCUUACGCAAAUGUAACCAAACAAGAUCUCCAGGUGCAAACACAACAUGUUUUCUACCCUUAUCUCCAGCAAGUUUAUAUUUAGCAUUCAUAUGCUCAAUGUUUUCCUUAGUUAACUCAUGCAUUUUUAAAAUCAAUUCAUCACGUUGUUUAGCAUCAAAAUUAACCUUCUCCGAAGAUGGAAGAGGCAACAAAUCAAUAGGUGCACGAGGUAGGAAACCAUACACAACUUCAAAAGGGCACAUCUUAGUAGUAGAAUGCAAUGAACGAUUAUAAGCAAAUUCAAUAUGAGGCAAGCAUUCCUCCCACAUUUUCUUAUUAUUCUUCAAAACAGCCCUAAGCAUAGUAGACAACGUUCUAUUGACUACUUCAGUUUGUCCAUCAGUUUGGGGGUGACAAGUAGUACUAAAAAGCAGUUUAGUCCCCAACUUAGCCCAUAAACAUCUCCAAAAGUGGCUAAGAAAUUUAGUAUCACGAUCUGAAACAAUAGUAUUUGGCACACCAUGCAAGCGAAUAAUUUCAUGAAAGAACAAAUCAGCAACAUUAACAGCAUCAUCGCUUUUAUGACAUGGCAUAAAGUGUGCCAUUUUUGAGAAUCUAUCCACGACAACAAAUAUGCUAUCCCUCCCCUUCUUUGUUCGAGGUAAACCUAAAACAAAGUCCAUAGAUAUAUCCUCCCAAGGAACACUAGGUACAGGCAAAGGCAUAUAUAAACCAUGAGGAUUGAGUCGUGACUUAGCUUUUUGACAUGUAGUGCAGCGAGCAAUAAAACGCUCAACAUCCCGUCUCAUCUUUGGCCAAAAGAAAUGUGUAGCAAGUACGUCCUCCGUCUUCUUCACGCCAAAGUGUCCCAUUAAUCCUCCUCCAUGCGCCUCCUGCAACAACAAAAGACGAACGGAGCUAGCUGGAAUGCAUAGCUUGUUAGCACGAAACACAAAUCCAUCGUUAACGACGAACUUGUUCCACAUUCUUCCUUCUUUACAAUUCUGCAUUACAUCUUUAAAAUCAGCAUCAUGCACAUAUUGAUAUUUGAUGGUCUCCAAACCAAAUAUUUUGAAGUCAAGUUGUGAAAGCAUAGUAUAGCGGCGAGACAAUGCAUCAGCAAUAACAUUUUCUUUUCCCUUCUUGUGUUUAAUGACAUAAGGAAAAGUCUCAAUGAAUUCAACCCAUUUAGCAUGUCUACGAUUCAGUUUAGCUUGACUUUUAAUAUGUUUCAAAGAUUCAUGAUCAGAAUGUAUAACAAAUUCUUUGGGCCAUAAAUAAUGUUGCCAUGUUUCUAAAGUCCAAACAAGAGCAUAUAAUUCUUUAUCAUAAGUAGAAUAAUUCAGACUAGGCCCACUCAAUUUUUCAGAAAAGUAUGCAACAGGUUUGCCAUCUUGUAAUAACACACCUCCUAAUCCAAUUCCACUAGCAUCACAUUCAAGCUCAAAAGUCUUAUUAAAAUCAGGAAGUUGGAGUAAAGGAGCAUGUGUCAACUUAUCUUUCAAUACCGUGAAGGCUUCUUCCUGUGCGGUACCCCAAACAAAAGGCACAUCCUUCUUUGUAAGCUCGUUGAGAGGUGCAGCAAUGAUGCUGAAAUCUCUCACAAAACGCCUAUAGAAUCCAGCGAGGCCAAGAAAACUCCUCACUUGUGUGACCGUUUUGGGCGGCGGCCAACUCUCAAUAGCUUCAAUCUUGGCUUUGUCAACUUCAAUUCCCUGUGGAGUAACAACAUAGCCAAGAAAAGAUACUCGGUCGGUGCAAAAGGUGCACUUCCCAAGGUUACCAAACAAACGUGCAUCACGUAGAGCAAUAAAAACUGCACGUAAAUGUUCCAAAUGUUCUUCCAAAGAUCUGCUAUAAAUCAGUAUAUCAUCAAAAUAGACUACCACAAAUCGUCCAAUGAAAGCACGUAAAACUUCGUUCAUUAGUCUCAUGAAAGUACUAGGCGCAUUAGUUAACCCAAAAGGCAUGACUAACCACUCAUAUAAUCCAAACUUAGUUUUAAAUGCUGUUUUCCAUUCAUCUCCCAAUUUCAUACGAAUUUGAUGGUAUCCACUACGCAAAUCAACUUUGGAGAAUAUUGUAGAGCCACUCAAUUCAUCAAGCAUAUCAUCUAGCCUAGGAAUAGGAUGACGAUAACGAAUAGUAAUAUUAUUAAUGCCUCUACAAUCAACACACAUACGUGAUGUACCAUCCUUUUUCGGCACUAGAAUAAUAGGAACAGCACAAGGACUAAGGGAUUCGCGUAUAUAACCUUUGUCGAGCAGCUCUUGUACUUGACGCAUAAUCUCCUUCGUCUCCUCUGGAUUGGUACGGUAUGGUGCACGGUUUGGCAGUGAAGCACCGGGAAUUAAGUCAAUCUGAUGCUCAAUCCCUCGAAUAGGCGGUAAUCCCGGUGGCACGUCUUGUGGAAAGACGUCAGCGAACUCCUGCAAAAUGUUAGUGACAGCAGAAGGCAAAGAGGAAGGCACGUCCUCGGAUGAAAAUAAUGCCUCUUUGCACACAAAAGCAUAGCAAACAGAUUUGCUGAAAUCUAGCUCAUCAAUAUCAGAUUUGGUGGCAAACAAACAUGCACUUUUCAAUUUAAUUUCAGAAGCAACACUAGAUGGUUUAUUAUUAGGCUUCAUUUGAUGCUCAAAUUCUUUUGCCACAAUCUGAUUUUCACUCUUAUUCGUCUCCUGUUUUGCUUUAUUAGCUCUAUUAAUAUCAUCUUUCAAAAUGGAAUCAGGAGUCAUAGGAAGCAAAGUAAUAUUUUUAUCCUUAUGUACAAGAGUAUAGUGAUUGUUUCUACCAUGGUGUACAGAAUUUUUAUCAAAUUGCCAUGGUCUACCAAGUAAUAAGGAACAUGCUUGCAUAGGUACCACAUCACAAUCAACAUAAUCAGCAUAUGUAGAGAUACUAAAAUGCACACGAACAGUACGUGUUACCUUAACCUUGCCGCUGUUGUUGAACCAUUGGAUGUAGUAAGGAUGUGGAUGUGGUCUUGUGGUGAGAGAAAGCUUCUCCACCAUCUCCAUGCUAGCCAAGUUGUUGCAGCUCCCUCCGUCUAUUAUGACGCGCACAGAACGUUCCUUCACAACUCCCUUGGUAUGGAACAAAUUGUGCCUCUGAUUUUGCUCAGCUUGUGUGACCUGCACACUCAAAACACGUUGAGCAACUAAACAUUCAUACCUGUCAGCUUCUUCAGGAGCCAUGUAUUGCGUCUCAUGAUCAGAAUCAUCUCCACCAUGUUCUUCACGUGUAAUAAGAGCCAAAGUCUCCUCAUCAUAGUCACUAGCGGAGUCAUAUCCACCAUCCGCGGUAGCAAUCAUCACAUGCGGAGAUUUGCAUUCUCUCGCAUAAUGACCUCCUCCCUUACAACGACGACAAAUAAUAUCACUUGUGUGCCCUGUUGAUGCCAUGGAAGAAGAAGAACGCUGUGCAGGCCCCGCAGGUGCGCUCUUGGCAGAUAAUGGUGGUUGUGCCUGUUUUCUUGUAUCACGGCUGGAGGUGGCACCGGAUGGAGGUGCUGGUGCAGUUGAAGUAGAAGAUGCACGUGGUGUCCAUGAUGAAGGUCGGCCUGCAGAAAAGUUAGUUCGCCCCAAUGCUUGUCGAUCCUGCACUUCACGUUCAGCUUUACAAGCAAGAUGGAAUAAACGAGUGAUAUUAGUAUACUCCUUAUAGUCUAGAAUGGUCUGAAUCUCUCUAUUUAAUCCACCCAGAAAACGUGCAAGCAUAGCUUCAUUCUCCUCAACAAUACCACAUCUAAUCAUGCCAGUUUGUAAUUCCUGAUAAUAUUCUUCUACAGAAUUUUUUCCUUGUCUUAAACGCUGCAAUUUUUGAAGCAAUUCACGUUGAUAAUAUGGUGGAACCCAACGCGUACGCAUAGCAGUUUUCAAAGCAGCCCAAGUAGUUGGAAUAGGAUAUAUCUACAAUGUUCAGACCACCAUACACAUGCAAAACUAGUGAAAGCACAAACGGCAGCAGCAACUCGUCUCUCCUUAGGAUAUUGUAAACAUGUAAAUCGUUGUUCAGUUUCUAACUCCCAAGUAAGAUAUAUAUCAGGAACAUAUCUACCCUCAAAUGGUGGAAUAUUCAAUUUCAGUUUAGGAAUAUGGACAUCAUCUCGUACCUGAGGUGGUGGUGCAGGCCUACCAUUAUGAAUAUAUACCUGAGGUCGACCUGCUGGUGGUGGUACAGGUGGCUGCACGUAGUGUUGAUUUUGAUCAACCUCAUCCUCAUAAUCUCCCACAUAAUCAUCCUCCUCCGCAUCAGCAGCAGGAGCCACAGAAGUAUCAACAGCAGCACCAACAGUUUGGCCAAACGCAAGAGGAACACGGCUUGCUCGGCGGGGGUCUGCUUCGCGACGUGGAGGUAGUCGUUGUUGUUGUUGUUGGAGAGGUGCGUUAGGUGCAGCGGGUGGUGGUGGUGGAAGACGCGCGAGCAAUUCAUUAAACUUGUUAUCGAGCUUUGUUUCGAACGUCUUCUCAAGGCCAGUGAUCUUCUCCAUGGCCUCUUCAAAAUUGUUCAGCACAUCUUGCACCUGUUCAGUCAUCAUUUGCUGAAACUUAUCAUGAAGCUCCUUGUUCGAUAAAUUCUCCCAGUCAAUCUCGUCGGCUUGUGAUCCUGGCAUGGUUAGCAGCAAUAGAAACACACAAGAAUAUGAUCCUACAGACUAUGAACAAGUGGUGGUGGUGGGUGUCACAAAUCCGUCAAGCAAAUCUCAAAUUCUUACCAGUUCUUACCCACCAGCAGGCGGUGAUCGGCAACCGUUGUAGUCAAAAACUCUCAAAGCUUGGAUAGAGCGAUUACCAGGGAGAGUCAAACGCACGACGUAGAUGUAUGUGGAGCUGGGAAGGCUUAUAAUAUGGUAGCAAAAAGGGUCAGCAAUAAUCAAUUCAGAGAUGCAAAGUUGAAUAAACGCUCAACGACGGUACUGUGCUGGUCCUAGGCUAGACUGUGCUAGAGACGCGAGCCUAGAACACCAACAAAAUCACGGCGCGGCACGUAAACAAGGGAAAAGCACACUCUGAAUUUUUUUUGUCGCUCUUUUUUUUUUGCGCUCUUUUUUUUUUGCGCUGCUUUUUUUUUGCGAAAAAUCACUAUAAUGGCGAGUGUCUCAAAACUCUUCCUAGCUCAAACUGACAGGAUGGGCACGAAAUUUUUCGACCAAAUUUUUUUUUUUUCGACUGCCCGGACCCAAAAACUGGAAACGGGUCAAAAAAAAUUCCUAUAAUGGCACCUGUCUCAAAACACUCAGAAACACCUAAAAAUAGGAUAGCCAGAAAUUUUUUCGAAAAAUGCGUUUUCGAAAAAUUUUGGGACUAAACGGAGCGUGGCUACCCGACUCUUUUUUUUUCCCGAAACCUACUCCGGCAAGGAAACACGAAUCGGAAUCUAGAUGGAUCUCGAAAACAACCCUAAUAAGCAAGGAACUCGGAUUGGUGGUGGAUAUAUGGUGGUGGUAUAUGGCAGCGGUGGUGGUAGCGGUGGUAGUAUAUGGAUAUGGAUAGGUGGUGGUAUAAGGACACGGAUUGGUGGUGGUAUAUGGAUACGGAUUCGGAGCGGUGGUGGUAGAUGGCAGGGGCGAUGAUGAUGGUGCGGCGGCGGCGUGACAACUUAUGACCAGAACUCGAAACUCUAAAAGACUAGACUCUAAGACCAGCAACUAGACACGACGAUGCAACUGCAAAUUCAACAAAGCAAAACCCUAAAAAGAUUAUGCAAAGGCUCAGAUUGGUUCGGAUAUGAUGAACUAACCCUAAUUUUUUUCGUGGCUUUUUUCGUGGACUGUAGGUAUGAAGAACAGACUCGAUCUAAACUACGAAAAACUGUAAAAUCUCACCGAGCAACCUGGAAAUCUGAUACCACUUGAUAGAGG
rnacentral:lncRNA from 1 species